CACGUAGGGGGCGAGCGUUGUCCGGAUUUAUUGGGCGUAAAGAGCUCGUAGGCGGCUUGGUAAGUCAGGUGUGAAACCCCCGGGCUCAACCCGGGGACGCCACCUGAUACUGCUAUGGCUUGAGUCCGGUAGGGGAGCGUGGAAUUCCUGGUGUAGCGGUGAAAUGCGCAGAUAUCAGGAGGAACACCAGCGGCGAAGGCGGCGCUCUGGGCCGGUACUGACGCUGAGGAGCGAAAGCGUGGGGAGCAAACAGG
rnacentral:rRNA from 1 species